rnacentral:lncRNA from 1 species
UGGCUUGGUAGCAGUUAUGAAGAGACCCCCAAGCAAAUACAAUUCGCAAUGGGCAAGAGUGUUGGUGAAGUCUAAUGGGAAGAGGAUCCUUGGGACAUACAAUUUGGUGGUGGGCCCUUCCUACUUAGGUAUUCAGCUUUGGUGGGAGGUUCUGCCAUAGCUGUCUCUGGUUAUCCCUAGGGUAGAUUGAAGAUGGGGGGUGAUGUUGAGGAAGAGCCACAUGCAGUGGGUAGAGUAGGAGAUUAAUUUCUGUCAAUGAGGUGUGGGGUUUGGGAUGGGUCAUCCUUUGAUUCAAGUUGUAGGGGGUAAGGUCAUGGAUUUAGGCUAAACUAGGUUCUUGGAGGCCCAAGGUGAGAGAAUAGGGGGGAUGCAAGCAGGGCCUUAGAGGAUGGUGGGCCUAGUGGUCACUUUAGGGGUUUGGCUUUAAAGGAGGCCCAUUGUGAGACAGAAGGGGGCAGUGAAAUGGGCCAUGUAAGGAGAGGCCUAGAAAAGGAGAUGGGAUGUGGUUCUUCUUUAAAGCUGAUGGGUUGUGGGUUGGCUUGAAAGAGGGUGGAUUUUAAUGAGCGUGGAUUUGGGCUGGAUGGUCAGGUGUGCUAUGGGAUGGAUCGACCAUUUGAUGUUUUUAAAGGGAGAGUAUCAAGAGGAGAGUAACAGUGUGGGUCUAAGGCUUGUUUGGUCUCUAAGCUUAGAGGGAUGCAGAGCGGGAAAGGGGAGAUCAUUGGCAAGGAAAAAACUUAUGGUUUGCUUACAAGAAACAAAAAUUUAGGAGAUGCUAAAGGGAGCUAGUGAAGGGCUUAGGGGUGGGCAGAUUUUUGUAAUUGGGAGUCAUGGGUGUUGGAUUUCUGGGAUAAGAGGGUAUUAGAGCUUGUGGAUAUGGAAUUGGGAGAAUAUUCAAUUUUUUGUUGGUUAAAAAAUUGUGGGGAUGACUUUGUUUGAGUUUUGCAUUGGUAUAUGGAUCCAUCAUAGGGGGAGAAAGGGAGGAUUUCUUGGCAGAGUUGGGGGUUAUAUAUAAAAGGGAUUGUGGGAUGAUCCUUGGUUCAUUUGAGGAGACUUCAAUGCGGAUAGAUUCCUAGGGGAGCAUAGCAGAGGUAAAAAGGAGGUUCUCAGAGUUGCAUGAUCUUCCUUUGUUGGGGAGUCCUUUUACUUAGAGUGUAGGGAGGGAGAAAGGAGGGGGGAGCACCCCUUACUAAGAUUAGAUCGGUUUUUAUUGUUUCAAAGGUAGGAAAGUCAUUUCAAGGGGGUGGUUUAAAGUACUCUAUUGAAUAUUGUUUAUGAGCAUGCUCCUCUAUUGCUAGAUGGGGGUGGGAUGAGGAGUGGUGCUGUCCCUUUCAAGUUAAAAAAUAUGUGGUUAAAGGAGGUGGGGUUCAAAGGUUGGUGGAUGGACUAUAAUUUUAGAAGUUCUCCCAAACUCGUCUUGUCUGUAAAGUUGAAAGCUUUAAAAUUAGAUCUGAAAAAGGAAACAGAAAAGUGUUUGGCAAUGUUUCCAUCAAGAAGGAGAUCACUUAAAAUCAGAUGGGUUUUAGAUUCCAAGGACGGAGAAGGGUCGCUAUCAAAAGAAAAGGAUGAAGUUAGGAGGUUAGCAAAGGAGUAUUUUCGUAAGUGGGCCCUUUUUGAAGAAGCAUUGUGGAGGGAGAAAUCAAGGGAAGUUGGUCAAAGGAGGGUAAUAGAAACACUAAAUUUUCCUCAAAAUGACCAAUGCUCAUAAGAGUUUGAUGUCCAAGAUUAACAUUAAUGGGGAGUGUUUUUUUGAGGAAAAUGAGAUAAGGGAACUUGGAAGGCGUGGUAAUAGUGUUCCACAACCUUUUAUCUGACACGAAUGAAUGGAGACCUAGCAUUUUAGCUUUUUGAUUCCUUGGAUAGACAUGAAGUAGAAAGAUUGGAGGGUCCAUUCUAAAAAAAAGAGGUGUUUAGUGCCUUGUUUGAUCUGAAUACUAGAUGAGUUCUUUUUAGCAUUCUAUUAAUUUAGUUGGGACUUUGCUAAAAACAAGGUGUGGGGAUUUUCAAGGAGUUUUCUGAUUAAGGGAGGUUCAAGAAAAGUCCCAAUACUACCUUUUCUUUUUGUGUUAAUGUCAAAGAAGGAGGGUGCAAAGGAUAUGAAGGAUUGCAGGUCUAUUAGCUUGGUGGAAGGGCUAUAUGGAAUUCUUGCCACAAUUUUGGCAAAGAGAUUGAAGAUGGUGUGUGGAAGGGUAGUCUCUAAGUCUUAGAAUGGCUUUGUAGGGAGGGAAGACAAAUCUUCGAUGAGGUGCUAAUAAGCUAGUGAAGCUAUAGAUUCUAGGGGUGUGAGGAAGCUUGGUUCGGUUGGUUAUUAGAUUGUGAUUAACCAACUUGAUUUGUUUCUGCCUGAGGCUAACCAAACUGUACCUAUGUAGUGCGAAAAAUAGAACAAAACCAAGCAUAUCGAGAUUGAUUUGUUUGGUUCCAAAGAAUUGGUUUAGGCCUAAUUUUAAGGCUUCAAUCUCCUUCCUUGACUUGUUGUGGAGGUGUUGAAGAUGGUGAUGUCGGUUAGGUUGAGAUUCUGAAGUGAAGAUGACUAGUGCUGUGAGGUUAUUGAAAGUAUGGAUGAUGGUGAUGAUGGUGGAGAUGAGCUGGCCAGAGAUUGUGAUCGUGGCUGAAGGUUGGUGGUGUGGGUGUUAAGGAGAAGUUGCGCUGGAGGCAUGAACAUGAAUGAUGGUCUUGGUGAAGAUGAUGUGAUAAUAGUGGGUUUCUUGGGUUGGUUUCCUUUUCCUCUUGUGAUCGACCUUGUGGUAUUGAUAAAAUAGGGAGAGAGAAAAUGAGUGUUUCCCUUUUCCUCAGUGACUAUUUGUCUCAUUUCCUUCUCUUUUAAGGUGAGCUUGUCAUGUGCUCUUUAAGACCACUUUGCUUAGCUUGUUUGGCAAGUAGCGUACUCAUCAUAGAUAACCACUUGGCGAGUUUGGCAAGCUUCAACCCCAUUGGCGAUAGGUGUAUGGGUGGAGGCCAACACAUACAAGGGUUUGUUGUUUCAGUCCUUGUUAGUUUUAAUAUUUUCAAAUAAAAAUCCGAACCAUUUGAAUCGAUUUUUUCAAAAUCGAACCAAAUCUUUUACAACUAAAAACGAACCAAUGAGGUUGGUUUGGUUCAAUUUAAUUGUUCUUUUUCUUUUUUUUUCUUUUAAUUUACUUACACCCCUAAUAGAUUCUAUGUUAAAAAAAUAAUGUAUGUGGUGUUUGGUGCAAAUUAGAUAUCGAAAAGGCUAAUGAUCAUGUCAACUGGAAUUUCUUGCUACAAAAGAUGAAUUUUGGUAGAAAUGGAUAUGUUGGAUCAAAUGUGUAUUUCUUUUGCUAAGUUUUCAUUUCUUGUCAAUGACACCUUUUCGAGUUUUUUUCAAAGUUUUGGGGGUUUGAGGCAAGGGGAUCCUCUUUCUCCCUACUUAUUUGCUUUAUCAAUGGAGACUCUAAGUUGUCUUCUAAAGUGGGCCAAGGAUGGUAGUUACCUUUUGCGCUUUAGGGUAAAGGGGAAAGGAGUUGAGAGGGAGAAAGUGUCUUAUUUGUUGUUUGUUGAUAAUACUUUUGUUUUUCUUGAGGCUUCUCAAGACCAAAUUGUUCAUUUAAGCUUGUUGCUCAUGUGGUUUGAAAAUUAUCUUGAAAAGAGCGAGUUGAUUUCAAUUGGGAGAGUGGACAAUAUCUAGGAGUUGGCCUAUUUAAUGGGGUGUAAGGUGAAUGAGCUUCAAACUUCUUAUUGGGGCUUCCUUUGGGCAUUAUUUUCAAAUCAAUGGUGGCUUGGGAUGGGAUGGGAAAAAGGUUUCGCAAAAGAUGGCUGUUGUGGACAAGACGAUAUUUAAAAAACUGGGGGCGGCCGAGAGCGAGGAAGCGAGUGAACCCGCCGGCGGCGAGAAUGUUUCUCGCGCGGAGAAUAGGAGGAAAAGGAAGACGAGGAGCUUUGGGGUGGAGUCCAAGUCCUUCGUGCUGGAAAUGGAGGAGAGGAGAGGGAAAACCCUAAUAACCAUCACAGAAAGCAAGAAAGGGGUAUCGUCUUGGGUGCGCAUGGGGAUGUUCAGCGUCGGACUGUUCAUGGAAGGCCUUCAUCAGUGCAUUGAAGAUGUGAAUGAAGGCAGAUGGGAAAAGGGUUAGAAGGAAAAGGGGAGGAACUUUUCUCUGAUGC